CGAAAACAAUCGAUGGUUUCUCCGCACUAACAAAUAGCAAGAGGGACGAAUUAGAGAAACAGUUUGAACAGUUUUAUGAGUUUUGGUGGUGUUAAAAAAGGUUGGGAAAUGGAGAAGAGGAUGGAUAAACAUGUGAAAAACCCUUUAACAACUGUGGAUAACACGACUCCAAAUCGUAAAAAAGAGCUUUCACUGGUUUGGGACCAUUUCAAGAAGACUAAGGACGCUCAAGCAGCGAUUUGCAACAGAUGUGGUAAGCUCUAUAAAACUUCCGGGAACACUAGCAAUCUAUUGGAUCAUUUAAAACGAGCACAUCCCGAAUAUCUGGAGGCUGGCCAGGUUGCUUCUACGACUUGUUUGGAUCGGUUCCUAAAGACUGACCUCACCUAUCAAAAUGGAUCAGCAAAAAAAAACGGAGCUGGACAAGGCAGUAAUGAGAAUGAUCGCGGUGGAUGUCCAACCUUUUUCUAUUGUAGAAGAUAGGGGAUUCUGUGACUUAGUUCGAAAACUAGACCCGAGGUACAUGCUACCCAGUAAAACCCAUCUCAGGAAUGUUGUUCUGCCACGUGAUUAUGAAUGUUUGAAAUUAAAGUUGAAGGAGGAUUUAAAUUACGUUGACAAUGUAUCCAUAACUACUGAUUGUUGGACCUCGCGUGCUAAUGAAGGAUAUAUCACUAUAACGUGCCACUUCAUUAACGAACGUUAUGAACUAAAAUCAGUAGUUUUGUCCACGCAAAAACUAGUAGAUGCAACUAACCACUGCGCAAGUAAUAUUGCCGACUCACUCAGCGCCGUUCUGAAUGAAUGGAACCUUUUAAAUAAGGUAGUAACGAUUGUAACGCGUCUAUGAAAAAAGCGUGCGAAAUAAUGAGAAUCAAACAUUUGCCAUGUGUCUCGCAUACUAUUAAUCUUUUGGUGCAAGAUCUCCUGAAAACAGAUUCAAUAGUACCCUUACUAGCAAAGUGUAAGAGGAUCGUAGCGUUUUUUAAAUCGAGUUCAAUCGCAACAGAAAAACUAAAAAAUGCACAAACUUCAGAGUCACGCUAUGGACUUUUACAAGAAGUUCCAACGCGUUGGAAUAGCGCAUACUUUAUGAUUCAACGGAUUAUUUUGGUAAAUGACUCGAUUUCUGCAGUGCUUCUAAACUCAACCAAGGCUCCAAGUUCAUUAUCAGCCGACGAAAUGAUUAUUUUGAAUGAGAUUUGUCAAGUUUUAGCUCCGUUUCACGAAGCGACAGUUCAGAUAUCGACUAACAAAACGGUUUCGAUUUCGCUAAUAAUACCUCUUAUUUAUGAGUUGCACCAAAAAAUCAUGCAAAGUAUACAGCCAAGUAAAAUCACAGCCUGCGCUUGAUAUUUGCGAGGUCGUAAAAAAAAGAUUGCCAGAGCGUUUCUCGCAUUACGAAACUCGGACUGUUACUAGAAUUGCUACAUUGCUGGAUCCGAGAUUUAAAAAGGACGGUUUUUUGUUUCCAUCGAACUCAGAGCAAGCCGCGAAAGCUUUGGAGUCAGAGUUGUUUUCAAGUUUGUCCCGAGUAGCUCAACCACCUGAAGUUUCAACACCACGAAACGAAGAAAAAAUAUCCAAAAAAGUUCACUCAAACCUAGCCGAUGCCAUAAUGAUCUUGCGAACAUAUUGCGAAAGGCCUAAUGAGCCGGCGGAUAAGGAUCCCCUUGUUUAUUGGAUGGCAAACGGUGAGACAUUGAAACCUAUAACGAGAUUAUGUAUGAAGUACCUCUGCAUCCCAGCAACUUCGACCGAAUCCGAAAGGACCUUCAGUAAGGCCGGUCAAAUAAUAUCUGACCGAAGGUCUUCACUAAAACCCAAAAAUGUUGACAUGUUACUUUUUCUUAACAAAAUCCUUAACAAUUGAUCUCUUUAUUGAUUUAUUAAUAUAAGUUUUGCAUUGAAGCCAAAAAAUGUUAUGUUACUUUUUAAGAAAAAAAAAAUGUAUCUCUCUAUUGAGAUAUUAAUAUCAGUUUUGCAUUGAAGCA